AAGAGGUCACACCCGUUCCCAUACCGAACACGGAAGUUAAGCUCUUCAGCGCCGAUGGUAGUUGGGGGUUUCCCCCUGUGAGAGUAGGACGCCGCCAAGC
rnacentral:rRNA from 1 species